UACGAAGGGGGCUAGCGUUGCUCGGAAUCACUGGGCGUAAAGCGCACGUAGGCGGCUUUUUAAGUCAGGGGUGAAAUCCUGGAGCUCAACUCCAGAACUGCCUUUGAUACUGAGAGCUUGAGUCCGGGAGAGGUGAGUGGAACUGCGAGUGUAGAGGUGAAAUUCGUAGAUAUUCGCAAGAACACCAGUGGCGAAGGCGGCUCACCGUGCCCGGUAC
rnacentral:rRNA from 1 species